rnacentral:rRNA from 1 species
AGAGUUUGAUCCUGGCUCAGGACGAACGCUUGCGGCGUGCCUAAGAAAUGCAAGUCGAACGGUAGCAAUACAGUGGCGAACGGUCGCGUAACACGUAAGCAACCUGCCUCAAAGUGGGGGAUAACGUUCCGAAAGGGACGCUAAUACCGCAUGUGGUUCACGGGCGGCAUCACCUGUGAUCUAAAGAUUUAUCGCUUUGAGAUGGGCUUGCGGCCUAUCAGGUAGUUGGUGGGGUAAUGGCCUACCAAGCCGACGACGGGUAGCUGGUCUGAGAGGACGAUCAGCCGGAUUGGGACUGAGAUACGGCCCAGACUCCUACGGGGGGCAGCAAUUAGGAAUCUUGCGCAAUGGGGGAAACCCUGACGCAGCGACGCCGCGUGAAGGAUGAAGGAUUUCGGUCUGUAAACUUCUUUUGUCAAGGAAGAAGAAUGUGACGGUACUUGGCGAAUAAGCCCCGGCUAACUACGUGCCAGCAGCCGCGGUAAUUC